UACGGAGGGUGCGAGCGUUGUCCGGAAUCACUGGGCGUAAAGGGCGCGUAGGCGGCCUGAUAAGUAGGGGGUGAAAUCCUGCGGCUUAACCGCAGGGCUGCCUUCUAAACUGUCAGGCUAGAGCACAGUAGAGGCAGGUGGAAUUCCCGGUGUAGCGGUGGAAUGCGUAGAGAUCGGGAGGAACACCGAUUGCGAAGGCAGCUCGCUGGGACGUCACUGACGCUGAGACGCGAAAGCGUGGGGAGCAAACAGGG
rnacentral:rRNA from 1 species